rnacentral:lncRNA from 1 species
ACACGCUCAGGGAGAAAGCUGUGCCUCUCGCACUCUCUAUUUAGCGAUCUCUCUAUGGCAUGACUGACCUUUUUUAAGUCAGACAGCCCUCGGAAAUAAUGACUUACCAAUUGGUGAUUUUCGCCACUCUCCUAGCGUUAUCCUGCUCAAAGACGGACGAGAUAAAACCACCGGAGCCGUGUGUGGAUAAGCCCUGCGCAGAGUACUGCGUGAAAGUGCUAGGAGGGCCCGAAUUCAAUGUCACUGGCAAGUGCGCGAAGUACGAGAAUGGUACGCAGUUCUGCAGCUGCAGGCGUCGCACAUAUUGCACUGAGGAAGCGUGCUCAAGGUCCUGCUACUCGUACCACCUCGGCAAGCCUAACCUGCGGGCAGAAUGCGAGAAGUACUUGUGCCGAUGCAUCUGGG